rnacentral:lncRNA from 1 species
UCACAAGGAGACGCGUGUUCUAUUUCCAAACUUAAGUUAUGUUCCAAAACCAAUUUCUCACCUUUAUCCCCCAAAUCCCUAUCCCACAUUCUGAAAUCCUCACGCAUCAAAUCUCCAAAUUUCUUAAAUCAUCCAAAUUUUUCUCUAUGUUCGAGAUGCAUGAUGUGCUGUCAUGCAUUGAGGAACUUUAAUGCUACGAUACUUCAAAGUUUGUGGCAGCCUCUUUCUCUUGUCACCAAAAAAAGAACCCUCUUUCACUUUUAUGAUUGUUCUAAGCAUUCUUUCCAUCGCGCCAUCGCGCCAUCGCAACCUAGCAUUGUCAUCUGGCUCCCAUUGCCUCUGUACCAGUUCAUAUUUUCAUCCAUCGCCCAAUGCGGUAGCCUCUAUUCCAAUCAUGUCGUCGUCCACUCCAGUUCCAUUUUCCAAUUCGCGUCCACAAUGUCGUAAGAUACUCUCACAGUGUUAUAUAGAGAAAAAAGUUGUUAUCUUUAUAGGGUUUUCUUGUAAUUCUUGAGAACAUUUCACUUUUUAUGUGUUUCUUUCUCAUGACUAUCUUUGUUCUUGCUUUUGUUUGUAGAUAAUGGGUGUUAUUUGCAUUACUUUAUUUAUACCUUAUAGCAAUAAAAAUAUAUAAAAUGUUUC